ACUGGCUUUAUGAAAGAGUAAGAAGCAGGAAACCAUGACUUUGAGCUUCACCUGUCAUGCUGCUAAGGCUAUCAAGGGGGCCCAGUCCAUCCCCUCUGCAUGUCCCUGCACCAGCGUUAGAGAAAGGACCCAGGUUCCCCUGGACUGUGGAAGUCAGUCAGGUGCAAGGAUGGUCAAGGCACAACUUGUUUGUAUUCCUGCUCCAAGAUGCAGUGAUCAUGCACCGGGCUGUUUAAGUGACUUUUCAGACUGCGGCCACUUUCCAAGACGUCAUCUUGCAGUACAGAGACCAAGAGACUAUGCGGCUGUUUAGCACAGUGAAAAAACUACCCAGAAACAAGCUCUGCUGAAGCUUUGGAGUCAUGGGAUCACAGUGGAAAGGACCUCAGGAGGCCAUCCAGUCCAACUGCCUGCCCAAAGAAGGGACAACUGAGAGAUCAGACCAGGUUGCUCAGGGCUGUAUCCACUCAGGUCUUGAAAACUUCCAAGGAUGGAGACUGCAUGACCUCUCCAGGCAAUCUGUCCCACCAUUUGACUGUCCUCAUGGUGAGGAAGCUUUCUCUUAUAUCCAAACUCUCUUGUUUCAAUUUAUGUCUAUUGUCUCUCCUCCUGCCAUGCACUGCAGUGAAGAGCCUGACUCCAUCUUUUUGGCAACCUUCUCUUAAGAUACAGAAAGGCUGCUGUUAGGUCCCCCCAAAGUCUUCCCUUUUCCAGGCUGAAAAGGCCCUGCUCCCUCAGCCUCUCCUCACAGGGCAAGUGCUCCAGCCCCCAACCAUCUUGGUGACCAUGCUUAACUCCCUCCAGUUUACCAUCCUGUAUGGACACAGUAUUCUAUCUGUGGUCUAACAAAUGCUGAGCAUAGGGCGAUACUCACUUCCCUUCAUCUACUGGCCGCGCUCCUGGUGAUACAGCCCGGGAUGCUGUCAGCCUUCCCUGCUGCCUGGGCGCACUGCUGGCUUUGCCCAAGUUGCUGUCCCUCAGGGCACCCCGGCCCUUUUCAGCAGAGCUGCUCCCCAGGCAGCCAGGCCCCAUCGUGGGUCUCUGUAAGGGUUCUUCUUUCUCAGGCGCAGGACUUGACCCUCCUCCCCCAAGUUUGUCCUGUGAACACACAGGCUGAGCUUUCCUCCAAGUGCCCUUAAGAUCUCAUGGUUGUAACAUAAGAGUUUUCAACUCUUUCCAAACAAAAUUCAUCAGUAUGAAAUACGGAUACUCCAAUUAUAUGUUGUACAGUUACAACUCAUGGCCACUGACAGUGCAAUUAGUAUGAAUAAGCUCUGUCCUAUUCCUUAAACUUUCUUCCCUCCAUGAUAACAGUCUUUAGAAUAAUGUGCAUAUUAAAGAGCAGCUUACAUUUGCAGAGGAAAGAGUGAGUUCUCAAAACUAUCAGACUGCUUUGAGACUCCUAUUAAUAAUGACAUUGUAGUCAAAACACAUCACUUCAUAUUAAUACAUUUUUUGAGUUGCUGCAUUUUUUUUCCUCUUUCAGUUUAUAAGUGGUUUUCAAUGCACAUCUAAGACAGAAUGAAUAAAAUCAGAAUACAGAUUUUUGUGCAGUGGGAGCAAAAGAUAUUUCUAUACUGUUACAAAUUGCUGAUGCACCGUAACACAAACUGCAAUAUAUUGAAAGCAGCUGGCAACUACACAGCAUUAAGAUGCCUGUAACUAGUGCCAAACAGUAUUUCUGAGCACAAAUAACAAGUAGCAAGUGAAAGGUAUGAAAGGUGAUGUAUAUUAAAUGCAUAUGACCAACUUGGUUCUCCAUUGGAGUAGCAAAUCACAGCUACUGAAUGAAGAAAAUUUUAAAAUUCUAAAAAUACACGUGGAAAAAUAGAACAUUAUAUGUUGCAGAGCUGAGCUGUGUCAAGAAAACAAACUACCAUCCAAAUCAGAGGCUAAUAUUUUCCAAUUUUGGUUUCUAAACUUUAAACAUUGAACUCUUUCUGUGAUGGACUCCAAUAAGGUACUUUGUAAAUUAGGGGACUUGUACUGAGACACUUAGAAUACACUUAGCUGAGAACACCUGAGAGAGAGGCAGAGUAACUACAGUACUUGUCUAGGAUUUGACAGACUGGAUUCAGAUCCUACAUGACCUUCAGAUAGCUGCAUCCCAUCUGGCUGGAGGGACAGGAGGGGUCUGCGUACGCCCCGCAAUCUUAUCUCCCAGCUCAGAUAGAGCCUCAGAGACUUGGUUCCCCAUCCAUAAAAUGGUGAUACUAUUGUGUCUGCCUCAGAAGCAUGAGAAUCUCCUCACUCCACUUUUGGAAGCUCAUACCUAGUGUGGUAAUGAUGACCAUAUAAUAACCUAAAGUUAAGACCUCAGUCUUAUGGAAAAUCAGUGGUAAAUCACCAUGUCACUCCUUUAAAUGCAUCUACAAGUCUCCAUGUACUGUGCUCUAUGUUUUCAACUUGUUUGACUUUGGAAUUAAUCUCAGGAAGGCUUGGUUUGGUUUUACAGUCUAGACUAAAUUCUCCAAGGAAGAGAUUUCUGUCACCUAACAAAUCCAGAAUGCUGCACCAGGCAAUACUUGGCCAUGAAAGGAAUUUGUCAUGAUAAGCUCUGCAUAAAUAUUGACUUGAAGUUACAGACCUGCUGAUGCCUCAUGAAAAAAAAUACUCUGUUGCAUAGGGCAGAAGUGGGGGGAAACAACAACUGCAACCACAUCUUGUUGUCAUAACUUUUACCAUUUUCCUCAUUUUUCUGUUGUCUCUAGUUUUUUUCACUGUUUACAGCAGGGACUUUUUAGAACAAAAGCCAAGAUUAUUGCGCUUUAAGGUUCAGCUGUUUCCAUUGUUACUUUCUAAUUUUCUUAUCCUCUGUCACAUCAUAACUGAUUGCUUUAGAGAUAUUACAGAUUAGUGGUUUAUAAAGACUAAGACAUUGACUAUUAAGAAACAAAGGCAAUGCUAUGAUGAAUUGUGGUUGCAAACAUACAGUUAGUAUAGUGGCUGGCAGACGUAGACUGAAGCUGAGCACUAUCAGCUAUACCUAGUAACUACUAGCAUCUCCUUUACAGAGAAGCAAUGAAAAGACAGCCAGGGUUAUGAAGAGCACUUACUCAACUACAGCAUGAUCAGUAUCACAGAAAUGAUUUCGCAUGCUGUUUUUAAGUAUAUUUCCACUACAAUAACUAAGCAAGAACACCUUCAUGGAGAAGGAAAUAAAAGGGAGACCUCAUAUCUGAUGCUGUAAUCCAGACCCAAGUUCUCCUCCUAAAUCUCAGUGUCUCCAAAAUCCAGACAUGCACAGAUGCGCAAGUGCUGUCUUGUGGUUUGGUUUAUUUUGGGGAUACAGAUACACAGAGAAGAAAGAAACAGACAGCCCCCCUCAGAUUCAGAAUCCAGAUCCAGAGCUUGGCUUCUCCACAACUGCAGGAAGACAGGGGAAAUGUACAUGUUUCCAGUUCUGGCCAGUCAUUAGAUUUAAUCAGCAGAACUGCUUUUUCAGAGAGGCCCUUGCAGGUCUUUAAAGCUACAUCCAGUUAAGCAGGAGCCAAGAUCACGCAUAACAUCAAAGAAGAAAAUCACAUGAUAGCAAAAGACAUUUUGAGUGGUUAUUCAUUAACUAGAACAUUCCCGUGGCAGAAGUCCCAUAAACAUUUUGAGAAACUGGAUUUCCAAGCCUGACAGAUAUACAUAAAGCGUAUGAAAGACAUGACAGUGUUAUAUCCAAACUACAUCAUGUAUGUCUGCCCUGCUCAGAACUGUGAAAGCACUGUGGUGUUUUCAGUGGUACAUAUGCACAGUUGGACUGUGUUUUUAAAAUCUACAAAGUGCUGGGGGAAAUAAGAAUACUACUAGUCAAUGAUUUCCUCACGUACUGGACACAGGCAGGGGAUGCCUCUCAAGUCCGCUGACUCCAAGCUUUUGAUCCAGUAAAAGAAACAGAAGAGGAAGAUGCAGGUGGCAGUUCUGGGUCUUUGUUUCUUUGCUUGAAAAAAAUUACCUACCUCCCCAGCUCUAUCACAACACAUAUGCUCAAUGAGUCAGAAGGCUCUGCUUUUCCCAAGUUGCGUCUGAGCAAUUCAGGUGAUAGCAACAUUAUUUUCAGACAGUAUAAAGCACAGAAGACUGCUGCUUUCAACACAACAUUGUUCAGUCAGCCAUUUCUGCCAGUUUAUGUUGUGCUGGGUCGUUCUGCAUUCUCAGUAACAAGUGGUAGAAAUCUGAAGUAGCUCUGCAGGUCUGCACUGAGGUCUAAGGCAUGUCGCCUUCUACCAGCACAACCAAUACAAAAUACUGAAUACAUCUGGGUACUACUGCGAGUGAAUUUCUCUGGCUGGCAGAUGUGGACUGGACCCUCUUUGUCACAGCAAGACUGAAUCUAGCCCAUUGUGUCUGUGAAGCAUCUCCUAAAAAAGGGUGAAUGCGAUGAUUUAGAAACAAACUCAGCCCUGCAACUAAGGCAGUCCUGAGGUUCAAGUCUGGAACCACCAUCCUGAUUCCUACAAUCCUACUAACCACAGACAGCUUGCACAAGUGUGACUUGGGGUUCAGUGAAGGGUGCUGGAAAGGGAAUGUCCUCUUCAGACUUAGCAGCCUGCAGGAACGUGGUAUGCUUGAUAAAACCACACCAAAUAAAAUGAUUUCUAAAAAAUGAUGCUAGUGAUGAAUUAGGUAUCUCUCAUGAUGGGACUGUGAAUUUGGUGUCUGACAGGUCCACGUCCAUAUCAUGUGUUGUCUCACUGUGCAGCACACAGAGGAUCUCCGUCUUUCCAAAACAUGUUAUUAGUUUGUGGGCCAUACUGAUCAGAGAGGGUCAGUUAAGGUCAAAGGCCCCAGCUUAGGAUCUGGCUGACUACUUUAAGCAACCCUCAACUUUAAACCACUAAUUGAGACUGAAAAUAAUAGAAAAAGCCAGGUGAAUAGCUUUCGGCAACUGGUCCU